AUGGCUCGGUCAGUUCACCUCUUAGUAGGACUUGUGAUUGGGCAAGUAAGGUCUAAUAGCCGCUACUGGAAGUUCUUUGUCCUUUCAGCAAGUCUCCGGGUAAAGAGAGAGGGAUUGCUCGGCAGGGAAGACGGGAGAAUAUCCAAAUCAAAGACAGGCACUCGACUCUAUAUACAAGAAAAUAGUGAACUAAGGGGAUCACAACAGCGAAGGGGGCCAAUCGAGGAGACUGGAGGAGCUGGAUGCAGCGAUUCGGAAGUAGCGAAUCGUCUUCUUUGCAGUUUUUCAGGGGAUUGGCUAUCAAGCUAG